CGGAGGGUGCAAGCGUUAUCCGGAUUUACUGGGUUUAAAGGGUGCGUAGGUGGGUCUGUAAGUCAGUGGUGAAAUCUCCGAGCUUAACUCGGAAACUGCCAUUGAUACUAUAGGUCUUGAAUUAUCUGGAGGUGAGCGGAAUAUGUCAUGUAGCGGUGAAAUGCUUAGAUAUGACAUAGAACACCAAUUGCGAAGGCAGCUCCCUACGGAUAUAUUGACACUGAGGCACGAAAGCGUGGGGAUCAAACAGGAUUAGAUACCCUGGUAGUCCACGCCCUAAACGAUGGAUACUCGACAUACGCGAUACACUGUGUGUGUCUGAGCGAAAGCAUUAAGUAUCCCACCUGGGAAGUACGACCGCAAGGUUG
rnacentral:rRNA from 1 species